rnacentral:miRNA from 1 species
GUGUGUGUAUAUAAUGCAGUGUGUUUGUGUAGUGUGCAUUAUAUACACACACUAUGCAAACACACUGCAUUAUAUACACACAC